GGCGGACGGGUGAGUAACACGUGGGUAAUCUGCCCUUGAGUGGGGAAUAACUUUGGGAAACCGAAGCUAAUACCGCAUACGAUCCUUCGGGAUGAAAGCUUUAUGCGCUCAAGGAUGAGCCCGCGNUCGAUUAGCUUGUUGGUGAGGUAAUGGCUCACCAAGGCUACGAUCGAUAGCCGGCCUGAGAGGGCACACGGCCACACUGGCACUGAGACACGGGCCAGACUCCUACGGGAGGCAGCAGUGGGGAAUCUUGGUCAAUGGGGGAAACCCUGAACCAGCGACGCCGCGUGACCGAUGAAGGCCCUCGGGUCGUAAAGGUCUUUCGACGGGGACUAUUAUGAAGGUACCCGUAAAAGCAGGAGCGGCUAACUAUGUGCCAGCAGCCGCGCUAAUACAUAGGCUCCAAGCGUUGUUUCGGAAUUACUGGGCGUAAAGCGAGUUGUAGGGCGGUCCGUC
rnacentral:rRNA from 1 species